rnacentral:lncRNA from 12 species
CCCCCCCCCCCCCCCCCCCCCCCCCCCCCCCCCCCCCCCCCCCCCCCCCCCCCCCCCCCCCCCCCUCCCAAAUCUGUCCCAAAUCUGUCCCAAUCUGUCCCCAAAUGUGACCCCAAAUCUGUCCCAAUCUGUCCCCAAAUGUGACCCCAAAUCUGUCCCAAUCUGUCCCCAAAUGUGACCCCAAAUCUGUCCCAAUCUGUCCCCAAAUGUGACCCCAAAUCUGUCCCAAUCUGUCCCCAAAUGUGACCCCAAAUCUGUCCCAAUCUGUCCCCAAAUGUGACCCCAAAUCUGUCCCAAUCUGUCCCCAAAUGUGACCCCAAAUCUGUCCCAAUCUGUCCCCAAAUGUGACCCCAAAUCUGUCCCAAUCUGUCCCCAAAUGUGACCCCAAAUCUGUCCCAAUCUGUCCCCAAAUGUGACCCCAAAUCUGUCCCAAUCUGUCCCCAAAUGUGACCCCAAAUCUGUCCCAAUCUGUCCCCAAAUGUGACCCCAAAUCUGUCCCAAUCUGUCCCCAAAUGUGACCCCAAAUCUGUCCCAAUCUGUCCCCAAAUGUGACCCCAAAUCUGUCCCAAUCUGUCCCCAAAUGUGACCCCAAAUCUGUCCCAAUCUGUCCCCAAAUGUGACCCCAAAUCUGUCCCAAUCUGUCCCCAAAUGUGACCCCAAAUCUGUCCCAAUCUGUCCCCAAAUGUGACCCCAAAUCUGUCCCAAUCUGUCCCCAAAUGUGACCCCAAAUCUGUCCCAAUCUGUCCCCAAAUGUGACCCCAAAUCUGUCCCAAUCUGUCCCCAAAUGUGACCCCAAAUCUGUCCCAAUCUGUCCCCAAAUGUGACCCCAAAUCUGUCCCAAUCUGUCCCCAAAUGUGACCCCAAAUCUGUCCCAAUCUGUCCCCAAAUGUGACCCCAAAUCUGUCCCAAAUCUGUCCCAAUCUGUCCCCGCUCCCUCCGUGUCUCAGCCCAGCUCUGUCCCCGCUCCCUCUGGCCCCAGAUCUGUGUCUGUCCCCAUCCUCAGCUUUGUGCCUGUCCCUGUCUCUGUCCCCAUUUUCUCUGUCCCCAUUUUCUCUGUCCCCAUCCCCGUUUCUGUCCCCAUCCCUGUCCCCCUCUUGUCCCCAUUCGGGUCCCCAUUUCCUUUGUCCAGUCUCUGUCCCCCUCCUUCCCACCUCCUGUUCCCGUCCCUGUCCCCGUCCCCGUUUUCCCCGUCCCCAUUUCCUCCGUCCCCGUUCCCAGUCCUGUCCCCAUUUCCUCUGUCCCCAUUCCCAUCUCCAUCCCUGUCCCUGUCCCCAUCCCUCUCCAAGUCCCCAUUUUCUCUGUCCCCUUUUCCUCUUUCCCCAUCCCUGUCCCUUCUUGUUCUCAUCCCUGUGCCCAUUUCCUCUGUCCACGUCCCCAUCCCUGUCCCCCCGUCCCCUCUGUCCCCAUCCCUGUCCCCUCUGUCCCCUCUGUCCCCAUCCCUGUCCCCUCUGUCCCCUCUGUCCCCAACCCUGUCCCCUCUGUCCCCAUCCCUGUCCCCCCUGUCCCCUCUGUCCCCAUCCCUGUCCCCUCUGUCCCCAUCCCUGCCCCCCCCCCCCCCCCCCCCCCCCCCCCCCCCCCCCCCCCCCCCCCCCCCCCCCCCCCCCCCCCCCCCCCC